rnacentral:misc_RNA from 1 species
GAUGAAGAACGCAGCGAAAUGCGAUAAGUAAUGUGAAUUGCUGAAUUCAGUGAAUCAUCGAAUCUUUGAACGCACAUUGCGCCCCUUGGUAUUCCGAGGGGCAUGCCUGUUCGAGCGUCAUUUCAACCCUCAAGCACAGCUUGGUCUUGGGCUUCGCCGCUAACCCGGCGGGUCUUAAAAUCAGUGGCGGUGCCGUCGGGCCCUGAGCGCAGUAAUCUCUCUCGCUAUAGGGUCCCGGCGGAUGCUGGCCAGUAACCCCCAAUUUUCUAUGGUUGACCUCGGAUCAGGUAGGGAUACCCGCUGAACUUAAGCAUAUCAAUAAGCGGAGGA